GUGAAAGACGGUCUUGCUGUCACUUAUAGAUGGAUCCGCGCUGCAUUAGCUAGUUGGUAAGGUAACGGCUUACCAAGGCAACGAUGCAUAGCCGACCUGAGAGGGUGAUCGGCCACACUGGAACUGAGACACGGUCCAGACUCCUACGGGAGGCAGCAGUAGGGAAUCUUCCGCAAUGGGCGAAAGCCUGACGGAGCAACGCCGCGUGAGUGAUGAAGGUCUUCGGAUCGUAAAACUCUGUUAUUAGGGAAGAACAUAUGUGUAAGUAACUGUGCACAUCUUGA
rnacentral:rRNA from 1 species